AUGUAGGGAACUAGAGAGAAAAAGGAGAGAGAGGAGAGAGAGGGAGAUAGAAGAGAGGAGAGAGAGAUUUGAAACCCAUCUCACACCCUAAAUGUGGGCAGGCUUGCAGACAGAUAUCUUGGAACUACGAGGCUUUUCUUCUGGAAAAAUGUCCAACUGUAGCAGACAGAAAGGAAGCCAAGAGAGGGUGUUUACAGCAAGGAGGGGCUAUGAAAUAUCUUCACUCCAGGUUCUUUACGAGCUGCAGUGUAUCAUUUUUAUCAGUAAUUGGAAGCAUGCUGCAUGUUUGACUCUGUGGACUCCUGCUUUACACAACAGAACAUUCCGAUGGUGUGCAUGUGCCAUACCCUGCCGUAACAAAUCUCAGCUGGUCCUCUGCUGUCCUCUGGGGAGAAUGCAUUUGAACUCAUCUCAAAGAGCUGGUUUUCUACCCUGGAGGUCUCCGAUGGCUACUGCGAGAAGAAAGCCAUGUCCCGAAAGCAGUGAUACAGAUUGGCAGCCACUGCAGAGAUGCAGAAUGUCGAAGAGUGUGUGUGUUGUAAGAGAUUCUUAACCCCUCCCUAGCACCCAUAGGGGCAGUCCACGGCCUGCAGCUUGGGCGGGAGGGGGUUAAUGCGGGGCAGCUGCCUGGCAGGGACCAGCUGAAAUGGAUCAGCUAGGAACCAGCCUCCCCUCUGCAUUAACCCUCGAAGGGAUGCAGAGGCCCAGGACAGAGGCCAGCCUGCUGUGCUGCACCUCGGCCUCAUUUAUUCAUGGGAGACACACGCGCGUGUGUGCAUACACACACACACACACACACAGAGAGAGUUCAUUUUACCUCCUGACCCCUUCUGCCUCUUGUCCUGAUUUGAAUGAGAAGUUAUAUUUCUAAACACAGUGCUUUCUCACUGGGCUAUUUUUGUAAUAUAGUAUGCUGAGUUGCUGCCUUAAAAUUAUAUAUAUAUAUAUGCACACAUACAUGCACACACACAACAGGCGUGCAGACCUUACAGGCUGAUGAUUCUGCCUCUUGCCAAGGGAAUUCCUGGACAGACACUGCUCUGAAAGAAAAGCCCUCUGGUUUUGGAAGUCUGGUUGGGCAAGGCAGGCGGAGGUCAUGGAGGGGCCGGCGUGAUGGAAUCCUCGGUGCAGCUGACUGCGCAGCCCGACACUGGCGUGGACACUGGGAUGCGUCAUGCAACAUCCAACCAGAGCACACUCACGAGGACAAACAUGGGCCCACCUAUUUACCAUCAGAAAAACAAAAUCACGCUCUUUCACUUUGAAAGAAGGGGGAAACUGGAAAGUUAUUAUUUGAAAUAAAAUGGAAUUUUAGGAUAAUUAUUUUCUUUAAUAUCCCUUUUAUUUCCCUGUUUUUCAUUUGAAUUCUGGUCUAUCCCGCAUACAAAGAAAUUGGCAUUCUCUGCCACCAAUCAACAUUUGAGUAUUUGGCAAAGUUAUGAUUUCA
rnacentral:lncRNA from 1 species